rnacentral:rRNA from 1 species
AUUGAACGCUGGCGGCAGGCCUAACACAUGCAAGUCGAACGGUAGCACAGGAGAGCUUGCUCUCUGGGUGACGAGUGGCGGACGGGUGAGUAAGGCAUGGGGAGCUGCCCAAUCGAGGGGGAUACCAGCUGGAAACGGCUGCUAAUACCGCAUACGCCCUGAGGUGGAAAGGUGGGGACCUUUUGGCCUACCGCGAUUGGAUGCACCCAUGUGGGAUUAGCUAGUUGGUGAGGUACGGCUCACCAAGGCGACGAUCUCUAGCUGGUCUGUGAGGAUGACCAGCCACACUGGAACUGAGACACGGUCCAGACUCCUACGGGAGGCAGCAGUGGGGAAUAUUGCACAAUGGGGGAAACCCUGAUGCAGCCAUGCCGCGUGUGUGAAGAAGGCCUUCGGGUUGUAAAGCACUUUCAGUGGGGAGGAAGGGGCGAUGCCUAAUACGCAUUGUCAUUGACGUUACCCACAGAAGAAGCACCGGCUAACUCCGUGCCAGCCGCCGCUGUAACAC